rnacentral:rRNA from 1 species
GACGAACGCUGGCGGCGUGCCUAAUACAUGCAAGUUGAGCGCUGAAGGUUGGUACUUGUACCGACUGGAUGAGCAGCGAACGGGUGAGUAACGCGUGGGGAAUCUGCCUUUGAGCGGGGGACAACAUUUGGAAACGAAUGCUAAUACCGCAUAAAAACUUUAAACACAAGUUUUAAGUUUGAAAGAUGCAAUUGCAUCACUCAAAGAUGAUCCCGCGUUGUAUUAGCUAGUUGGUGAGGUAAAGGCUCACCAAGGCGAUGAUACAUAGCCGACCUGAGAGGGUGAUCGGCCACAAUGGGACUGAGACACGGCCCAAACUCCUAAGGGAGGCAGCAGUAGGGAAUCUUCGGAAAUGGACGAAAGUCUGACCGAGCAACGCCGCGUGAGUGAAGAAGGUUUUCGGAUCGUAAAACUCUGUUGGUAGAGAAGAACGUGGGUGAGAGUGGAAAGCUCAUCAAGUGACGGUAACUAACCAGAAAGGGACGGCUAACUACGUG